GGAUGAACGCUGGCGGCGUGCUUAACACAUGCAAGUCGAACGGUGAAGCCCAGCUUGCUGGGUGGAUCAGUGGCGAACGGGUGAGUAACACGUGAGCAACCUGCCCCGGACUCUGGGAUAAGCGCUGGAAACGGCGUCUAAUACUGGAUACGAACCACGAAGGCAUCUUCAGUGGUUGGAAAGAUUUUUUGGUCUGGGAUGGGCUCGCGGCCUAUCAGCUAGUUGGUGAGGUAAUGGCUCACCAAGGCGUCGACGGGUAGCCGGCCUGAGAGGGUGACCGGCCACACUGGGACUGAGACACGGCCCAGACUCCUACGGGAGGCAGCAGUGGGGAAUAUUGCACAAUGGGCGCAAGCCUGAUGCAGCAACGCCGCGUGAGGGAUGACGGCCUUCGGGUUGUAAACCUCUUUUAGCAAGGAAGAAGCGAAAGUGACGGUACUUGCAGAAAAAGCGCCGGCUAACUACGU
rnacentral:rRNA from 1 species